UAAACGGGUAUCGGGGCGGGUAUGGGAACGUAAUCCCCAAAGGGUAUGGGUACGGGGAAUCCCCAUUAUCUAACACGGGUAUGGGGACGGGUACGGGGAUGAGAAAUGUAAAAGGGUAUGGGUAUGGUAUUUUGAUCCCCUUACCCUACCCUACCCAUUGCCAUCCCUAUUCGCACCCCAGCCUCUCAAACCAUGUCGGAUGUAUCUCAGUGGUUUGUCUUUGCUUUAGCUAUUCGCAAUGGAGAUCGUUCCUCUCUCGUGUAGCUCGUUCUGUCGUUGCGCCAUAACACUUCUUUGUUGUGGGACAACUUCUCACCCUAUGAAGUAAGAUCCCAAAACCUUGUGUAGUGAUUGGUACCCUCACCUCAAUUGGGAUGGAUGAGUCGGUCAACUGGUCAAGUAAGAACGCACCCAUAUUUUCAUUAUAUAAAUAAUAAUUUAAUUGAGAAGUUAGGCUACGCCCAUGGUUUAAUUUAGAAGAGUGCAAAAGUUAUACAUUAUAACUAUUUAUUCAAAUUUGAGAUUAUAUAUGAAUUUGUGAAAGGAAAAUGAUUCUUGGCCUUAAUAAGGCUUAAGAUUUGUGGCCUUAAUUUUAGAACACAUCAUCAAUUAAAAAUAUUAUGUCAUGUCAUUUUUAAACAAAAAGACAAUCUUAUCAUUCUAUUAUCAAAUGGCUCUACAUUAUUUAUCUUUUUAUUAAGAGAAAAAAAAAUUGGUUUUUUGUCUUUCUUUUAUAUUUAAAAAAUAUAUAAUUUCUAGCAUUUUGUUUUUUUAUUUUCAUCACUAUCAUGCUUAGAUUGAACACUAAAAUACAGUGUGAAAAUACAUAUAAAUCUGAGAAUAUACUUGUUAAAAUACACAAAUUCUUAUGAAAUACAC
rnacentral:lncRNA from 1 species